ensembl:lncRNA
UAACAAAUUCACAUUCAUUUUGAAUGACAAUAGUUGAUGCAAGUAUUAUUUUAGUAUCAUUAGUGUUUAUUAAUGUUUUGAAUGAAAUUUAUUCCAUUUUAUUUUUCACAUUUAGCACUGUUAAUUAUUUUAUUAUAUGAUAUUAUCUGUUUAAGUGUUAAAAUUGCAGCCCAUUCUAUACAAUUCUUGUAUAAAAUGUAAUUAUUUAUAUAUUAAUAUUUUGAGUUUGUGGCAGUUUAAUGGUGUAAUUAAGAGUGUGAUUACUGUCGGCAAACACAUUUCUUAUGCCAAAAAAAACAACAACAAAAAACAGGUUGAUUUAUCUGUAGUAAAAAAAAAAAAAAAAAUUCGUUAAAUAUUACUACUGCCUCGGGUUUACUGUAUAGUCAUUAUUCAGUCAAUGGUUUGAACUCUGGCAUUUUGAGUUCUUUUGAUUAAACAAAUAUUGGCGCAAUGGUUUUGGUCAUUUUGUUUAGGAUACUCUGGAACAGAAUAUUUACAUUGCCUCCAGUGUCCAGAUGCUCACGUCCAAACCUGAGCAGCUGACGUCCCAGAACAUCACCUCAGCUGCUGUGACUGUCAAUAACCUGCUGUCCGCCAGCAUGUUAAAUAAGUCAGUUGCAGAGUCAGUGGUGGCCACCAUCAGUCAGCUCAUGCACACUGAUGAAGACCGAUACUCUGAAGACACUUACGAUGCUCUCGAGAAUCUCACAGAGACUUUGGAGGAUUUUGCUUUGAACAUGAGUAACUCUAGUGUACUGGUGCAACCAAACCUAGCGGUGCAAAGCAUCAAGUUGUCAAAGUGGACCCCACAAGUACAAUUCUACUCUACAACGGGACUGUCAGAGUAUUCUCCUGAAAGAAUCGGUCUGGGUGCAGAUGCUGCUAACAUGGCAUCCUCUUCCGGACUUCCUGUUGAUAUCCAAUUAAAUAUCAAACUGCAGAAAGAUUCCCAGAAAGACUGGGGUACUGUUUAUGUUUCUGUUCUCAUUUUGAGGGACAUAAUUAAAAGUCAAAGUUUUGAAUACCUUUUUUCUUCUGUUUCCCCAUAG